ensembl:lncRNA
CUGUGUCUGAUGUUCCUGUACAAAACAGGUGGAUGACGUCAGAGUGGAAAAGAGAAUUCAUCCUUCAUUAAAUGGGAAAUUGCUCGUCCUGCCCAGCAUCCCUCAACUCUGGAGAGCAUCAGCGUGAGUGCCGCUGUUAGAGCCGUCGCCCUGCUGCGCUGCUGAAACCCUACACACGCACACACGAGCAUGCUGGGUGGGCCGCAUGGUAGUGACAACGGCAGGGUUGCGACCUCCAACACCCUUUAUGCCUAAUCACAUCUCAACAAAGCAUCUCUCUCUUUAUAUUCAUCUUUCUCUCACUUUAAUUUCUCUCUCUCUCUCUCUCUCUCUCUCUCUCAGAGUUCUGUAUGUCUUUGUUCAGCAGACACGUGCUGGUUUGUAAUACAGGAAACUUAAAUAAUCAUUCAUGAAGAGAACACAGACCUGCAUAUGACCCAUCUAAUCCCAGAAGGCACUAACCACCCGAAUUCCAC